GCGUAGCGCAAUGGCAACGCCCUUGAUUUGUAAUCAAGUUAUUGUAGGUUCGAAUCCUAUCGC
rnacentral:tRNA from 1 species